ensembl:lncRNA
GGUUUGGCAUAAAAUUUAGUGUUAAAUAUAUCACGAAGGAAUCGGUUUUUGUUCCUAUGUUCAAUUAUAAGAAAAAUUAUGCAUAGUUAAUUGUAAUAAAAUAUAGAUUGAGACGAACUUUAUGCAUUGUUCAAUUUAAAAAAAGUAUAUUUACUGCCGUGUCAUUAAGUUAAAAAAAAAUUAAACUUAAUGUAAGAUACCUUUUUCUUUCGUUUCUUAGAAAGACAACAUUUGCACAGUUUUCAUAUAGCAAAAAUGUGAAAUCUUACCUGCAGAAAGCGUGCUUUGCAGUCUUCAGAGCUCCACUUAAACGGCUACUCCGACUGUGGACUGAAUGACGUCACAUGCCCUGCAAAAGUUUGAGAGCUGCAGUGCAGGUGCGCGGGGGGAGGGUCACUGAUGGAGGAGCAGAGAGAGCCAAAGUUUUCUCCUCAGCUCUGACUCUCAAACCUGAUUUACAGGCUACAAUAUGUGAAAUAAAGGAAUCCUGACAUUUAUUUUAACUACAGUUUAGUACACAUUAUGAAAUCACAAAAUAAAAUUUAUCUAAAGUAAGAUUUAGUUUUACAGUCUAAUUAAACUUUAUAUAUAUCAGUAGUGGAAAGAGCCAUUACCAUAUUAUUUAUUUAUUUUACACACACACUAAACAGCUAUAUUAGGUACACUUUGCUAGUCCUGGUUUGGACUCUCUUUUGCCUUCAGACCUGCCAAAGUGCAGGGCAUCAGUUAAGUUGGGAGCAGAGUGAGCUACAAUUCUCUGCUCAGCUCUCACUCAGGCUCAGGCUUAGUGUACUGGCCAGAACACAUGAAACAAAGGAACCCUGACAUGUUUUACUACAAUUUAGUACACAUUAUAAAAGCACAUACCAAGAUUUAUAUAAAGUAAGAUUUAACUUUACAGCCUAAUUUUACUUUAUAUACAUCAGUAGUGGAAAAGUACUUAGUAUUUAUCUAAAAGUAUUAUUACCAUAGGGAAAAGAAAUACAUAUAUAUACACACAGUGGACUCAUUGCGAGCCCUUCAGGAGGCGAAAUGAUGCAAUUUAAUGCAAAAUACGUAUUUCAUCUGCUAUGAUGGGAAAGCCAGAUAUUUCAUAGAUGAAACUUUGAAAUAUCUGGCUUUUGAUGAUGAUCAAACAUUAUUUUUUCUGCAUAUAGGGGAGAAGCAUGUUAGGAGUCGAAGAGAAGGACAGGCAGGAGCGUGGAGGUACUAUGACUGGCAAAGGGAGAGAGCUGGCUGAUAUGACUGGAGAGAAGGAAGGUAGAUUUACUGUGUGUGCAGGAGACCAGGUUGAAGGUUGGAUGUCAGUUAGAAGAGAAAGAGGAAUUCUGCAGUUAGUUUGAUAAAGUGGUAGAGAGUGUUGAUUGGAGCAGACUUCAGUAGCCAUGUAGGUGAAGGAAAGAGAGAUAAUGAGGUGUUAGAUAGGUAUAGUGUUAAGCAGAGAAAUGCACAAGGUCAA